UUCACGCAAACCUUUACCUUUCUCAAACGGUGCCAUUUUGUUUGUUUCAUAAAAAACAAAAGGAAAAAAAAAAUACUAACAAAAGAGAGAAGACAGAAGCACUCUAAUUCACUCCUCUCCCUUCGGCCGAUCCCCAUAGCCCCCUUAUUUGAAUGUUCUUGCUUCGUUUUGAUCAGUGACUUAAGAUGCACAGAGGAGCCAUGGAGGGUUAAACCUCGAAGACUAUUUGCUUCAUUUUCAAAAUCCUGUCCCUGCUUCGAUUGUGACGAAGAAGACGGUUAUUGACUACUAAGGUAUGGAGCCAGCUGGCUGAUGGCGCACGUAGGACUGGCCAGAGGCAGCAGCGGUGCUGGAAGCUGCUGGAAACCUGUUCGGCACAAAGGAACCUUAGGGUUUCUGCUGAAAAUUUGAUUUAGUUUUGGGCCAUGGGGUGCUGGGCUAUUUGGGUUAAUUGGAUUAAUAAAUGUAAAUGGACUUGAUUUUUAAAUUAUUUUGGUUUUAUUA